GAUGAAGAACGCAGCGAAAUGCGAUACGUAAUGUGAAUUGCAGAAUUCAGUGAAUCAUCGAAUCUUUGAACGCAUAUUGCGCUCUCUGGUAUUCCGGAGAGCAUGCUUGUUUGAGUAUCAGUAAACACCUCAACUUCCAUAUCUUUUUUGAAAUGGGAGUUGGACUUGAGUGAUCCCAACGCUUUUCCUCACCGAAAAGUGGCGGGUUACUUGAAAUGCAGGUGCAGCUGGACUUUUCUCUGAGCUAUAAACAUAUCUAUUUAGUCUGCCUAAAAAACAGAUUAUUACCUUUGCUGCAGCUAACAUAAAGGAGAUUAGUUCUUGUGCUGACUGAUGCAGGAUUCACAAAGACGGCUUCGGCCGACUUUGUAAACUCGAUCUCAAAUCAAGUAAGACUACCCGCUGAACUUAAGCAUAUCAAUAAGCGGAGGA
rnacentral:misc_RNA from 1 species